GAGAGGGUGGGCAAUGUGGGGGCCCCAGGGAGUGUUGGAGGGGGCGAGACCCUGACAGGUGGGCACCUGGGUUCUGAAGGGGCCCUGGCAGCAAUGGCCCUUGUUCCCAAGGCUGGAAGCCAGGAGCAGUGGGCUAGGGCAGAAGACACAGGCCAAGCCCCAGUACUUAGGGAGGAUGGAGUAUCAGGGCGACCAGGGCAGCUCCUGGGGAGGCCAAGGUGACCCUCAGACCCUGAAUACAGACUGGCCUUGUCUCCCAAGUGGACACAGCGUGUUCCCUAGGAGCGUGACUUGGGGAUUUAGAGCACUGAGACUGUGCUACCCACUCCCAUUAAACAUCCCUCGUGGUUCCCAGUUGCCAGGAAGGGGAAUGCCAAACCCCUCAGAGGCAACAUGUGCUGGUGGGUGAGAGCUAGGAGCCUGAGUCCCGGUUCCAGCCUGGCUAUUCUUGGCUGUGUGACCACCGGCAACUUGCCUAACCUCUCUAGGCCUCAUGGGCUCGUUGGAGGAUGCGGUGAGCAAGUGACUGAGAUGGGCUUAGCACAGUGCUGGUCACACUGUCACUGUUCAAUGCCGGUGGCUGCUGGCUGUGACUGGCAGAGCAUGGCACAAGGUCCUGGCCACCUGACACAUGACCCAGUCGUCCUCUCCUUUCUCGGCGGCUCCAGCUCCACUUGCCAAUGCUGCCCCAAAGCUGCCAAUGCUUGGUGCUGCUCUUGGUUCCCUCAACACUCCCUGGUCUUUCAUGCCUCUGGGCCGCUCGCUGCUCCUGCUGUGCCCCACCAGGAAUGCCCUUCCCCUCCAGGCUGCUUCCAGCCCCCAUCAGUUGUCAAGUGCCCUGGAGCCCCCUUGCCCCCCAGGAGUGACUCAGUGCCCUGUAUGCAUCCAGAGCUCCGUGUGUGGCAUCAGGUCUGUCUCCCAUCUGAUUCUGCGGCAUCUCAGGCACGCAUGUCAUGGCUUGUUCCUUUUCUUGUCCUCGGUUUCCAGCGCCGCGCCUGUCACACUGUGGCUGCUCCAUCGAGUGGGCUGAAGGAUGGGAGCAAUCCAUCCCCAACACGGUGGGCCUGCUCGGCUCAGGGACUGCAGAUCACUCUAUGCUCCGGCUCUGUGUUCUCCUUCCUAAGCCUCAAGGAGAAACAGGACACCUCAGCUCUUCUCCCACGAUUCCAGGGGGAGACACUUCGCUUGGAUGAAAUGCUAGCCUCUGAGACAGGAGAAAACCUUGGCUUUGACCUUGAGGAAAUAGCAAAACUUGGACCUUGA
rnacentral:lncRNA from 13 species